GCCAUGGGGAAGAAGGCCUAUGGAGCAAAUUCAUAUUCAAUAUUCCUUUUCAUUCAUUUGCUCGUUUCGGAUCACCUAUAUUCAACAAAAGAGGCCAUCCUGUCGGGAUAUCCUAUCAAGACACGGAGGCAUGGCCCGUGAGUUUCCUGCGUCAAGCUUUUUUCAGGGGGGCAAAGAUCAGGAGGUACAGUGUGAUACACACAUGAAUAUAGUGUUACAUAUAUGUUGUACUACUUACUCAAAAUACUGAAAUGCGAAUGGGUUACAUAAAUAUGACUUCAAUAGUUACAAGUACAAAAUCAACACUCCGUACCCAGCUAGUUAUAGCUUUACAUAUUAGUUCUACUUUUGGUUUCAGUAAAUUUGGCCACAAACUCAUUUUCCUUACAUUUUUCUCACUCUAUAUGUAUAGCGCAUUGGGUAGUGUUUCCUAUGUAUUACUCCCCCCGUUCCGAAUUACUUGUCUUGGAUUUGUCUAGAUACAGAUGUAUCUAGACUCAUUUUAGUGCUAGAUACAUCCGUAUCUAGACAAAUCUAACACAAGUAAUUCGGAACGGAGGGAGUAGAUGGGAAUUCAAUCCCACCUGAAGGACCAGUCCCGCUCAAGGCCCAGUUAUGCCUGAAGGCUCAGUUAUGCCUGAAGGCUCAGUCCUGCCCAUCUAAGAGCAGCAAGCUGUAAAUGAGCAGGAGAUAGCGCGUCGGCGGCAAAUGGAAAAUGUCAACAUCCUUGGGCAGCUGCAUGCACAGUGGAGUUUACUGUUGUUGCAGCCUAAUGUAGUUAUCAGUUUAGUUUCUAUUGUUAAACUGUCAUCUGACUUGUUAUUGCAGCCUAGUGUGUUCUUGUUGGUUUGGUCUCUGAACGUUGAACUACUGUGACUUGUUUGCAGCCUAGUGUAGUCCUCGAUUUAGUCCCUAGUGUUGAACUAUUAAUGCGAUAUUUGUUGUUGCAGCCUAAUGUACUUGUCGAUUUAGUUUCCGUUGCUGAAAUAUCAUGUGUCUUGAUAGAAA